rnacentral:rRNA from 1 species
CAAGUCGAACGAGCUUCCGUUGAAUGACGUGCUUGCACUGAUUUCAACAAUGAAGCGAGUGGCGAACUGGUGAGUAACACGUGGGAAAUCUGCCCAGAAGCAGGGGAUAACACUUGGAAACAGGUGCUAAUACCGUAUAACAACAAAAUCCGCAUGGAUUUUGUUUGAAAGGUGGCUUCGGCUAUCACUUCUGGAUGAUCCCGCGGCGUAUUAGUUAGUUGGUGAGGUAAAGGCCCACCAAGACGAUGAUACGUAGCCGACCUGAGAGGGUAAUCGGCCACAUUGGGACUGAGACACGGCCCAAACUCCUACGGGAGGCAGCAGUAGGGAAUCUUCCACAAUGGACGAAAGUCUGAUGGAGCAAUGCCGCGUGAGUGAAGAAGGGUUUCGGCUCGUAAAACUCUGUUGUUAAAGAAGAACACCUUUGAGAGUAACUGUUCAAGGGUUGACGGUAUUUAACCAGAAAGCCACGGCUAACUACGUGCCAGCAGCCGCGGUAAUACGUAGGUGGCAAGCGUUGUCCGGAUUUAUUGGGCGUAAAGCGAGCGCAGGCGGUUUUUUAAGUCUGAUGUGAAAGCCUUCGGCUUAACCGGAGAAGUGCAUCGGAAACUGGGAGACUUGAGUGCAGAAGAGGACAGUGGAACUCCAUGUGUAGCGGUGGAAUGCGUAGAUAUAUGGAAGAACACCA